UCGAGAGGGUUCGGCCCUCGGCGUACUGCUCAGUAACACGUGGAUAACCUGCCCUAAGGAAGGGGAUAACCCCGGGAAACUGGGGAUAAUACCCUAUAGGUUACAGAUGCUGGAAUGCUCUGUAACCGAAAGUUCCGGCGCCUUAGGAUGGAUCUGCGGCCGAUUAGGUUGUUGUCGGGGUAACGGCCCAACAAGCCAGUAAUCGGUACGGGUUGUGGGAGCAAGAGCCCGGAGUUGGAUUCUGAGACACGAAUCCAGGCCCUACGGGGCGCAGCAGGCGCGAAAACUUUACAAUGCGGGCAACCGUGAUAAGGGAACCUCGAGUGCCUGUAUAUGCAGGCUGUCUGGGUGUCUAAAACACACCUAAAGAAAGGGCCGGGCAAGACCGGUGCCAGCCGCCGCGGUAAUACCGGCGGCUCGAGUGGUGGCCACUUUUAUUGGGCUUAAAGCGUUCGUAGCUGGGUUGUUAAGUCCCUUGGGAAAUCCGACAGCUUAACUGUCGGGCGUCUAAGGGAUACUGGCAAUCUUGGAACCGGGAGAGGUGAGGGGUACUUCGGGGGUAGGAGUGAAAUCCUGUAAUCCUCGAGGGACCACCUGUGGCGAAGGCGCCUCACCAGAACGGCUUCGACAGUGAGGGACGAAAGCUGGGGGAGCAAACCGGAUUAGAUACCCGGGUAGUCCCAGCCGUAAACGAUGUGCGUUAGGUGUAUCGGUGACCACGAGUCACCGAGGUGCCGAAGGG
rnacentral:rRNA from 1 species